ACGAACGCUGGCGGCGUGCUUAACCCAUGCAAGUCGAACGGUAAGGCUCCAGCUUGCUGGGGUACACGAGUGGCGAACGGGUGAGUAACACGUGGGUGACCUGCCCUGCACUUCGGGAUAAGCCUGGGAAACUGGGUCUAAUACCGGAUAGGACCAUGGUGUGGAUACUGUGGUGGAAAGUUUUUUCGGUGUGGAUGGGCCCGCGGCCUAUCAGCUUGUUGGUGGGGUAAUGGCCUACCAAGGCGGCGACGGGUAGCCGGCCUGAGAGGGUGGACGGCCACAUUGGGACUGAGACACGGCCCAGACUCCUACGGGAGGCAGCAGUGGGGAAUAUUGCACAAUGGGCGGAAGCCUGAUGCAGCGACGCCGCGUGGGGGAUGACGGCCUUCGGGUUGUAAACUCCUUUCACCAUCGACGAAGGGUUUCUGACGGUAGAUGGAGAAGAAGCACCGGCUAACUACGUG
rnacentral:rRNA from 1 species